UCUCUUCCCAACUACUUAUUUGUGAUGGCAGCAUUUUAAACAGAUCUCUAGCAGGUGUCUCUUUUUGUUAAUUUGUUCAUAUUUGUCCUCAUUACCGCUUCACCCAACAUGUCAGCCUAUUUAUUCUGAACUCCUCUAAGCUUCACACAAUUUAUUUCCAACAAUCAUUCAUUUCACAUCAUAUUACUCAGGUGUCUCUUUUUGUUAAUUUGUUCAUUAUUCGUCAUCAUUACCAUUUUGAGUGAGUUUAUGACCUCUCGGCAGAACUCUCUACAACAAGCAAAACUUCAUUAUUUACUGUUCUUUGGUGAGUGAUAACAAACCUUCAAUAUACAUUUCACAUGCAAACUCUGAGACAUUAUUAGAUUCUUUUACAACUCCUGCAUUUUACUGAGAUCGAUUUAUGGAUGCUCUUUUGACUCUCUUAUCUCCGUUGUUGCCCAAACAUGUUCUUUUUAUUUAGUCUCUAUCUCUCAUUCCUUACUAAGACAUUCAGAUGUUCUUAGAUCAUCACCACUACCUUCUAUAUUUCUCCAAACACAGCACAAACCUCCCUAUUUUCAUUUAUUAUUUGUUUGUGUGAUUUAUUUACUUUUCCUUUAAUUAUUUUAGGCCUGGGUUUUAUCCCAGCUAUGUUUUAUUAUUAGAAUUAGUUUAUAGUUUUCAUUCUUACUGUUAUUAGUUUGGAUAUGUUAUAAUUUAGCUCUAGGUUAGGUUAUCCUUCUUUUUACUUUAGUCAAGCAGCUCUAUUUCCAAUUUAUUUAACUUUUGGUCAUACUUUUAUUAAGCUAAUAAUCC